UGGGCACAGGGAUGGGCACAGGUCUGUCCUGAGCGGGGAUGGGCACAGGGAUGGACACAGGGAUGGGCACAGGUAUGUUCCCAGCAGGGAUUGGCACAGGGAUGGACACAGGGAUGUUGGGGCUGUGACCCCCAGGGGACCCCCACCCCUCCAUGCCACAGCAGUGGGACCCUGGCAGUGCCCCAGGCUGCAGGUGCUGUUGCAGAGGGGUCCCUGCCAGGGCAGCAGGCUGUGGGCAGCCCAGGGGGUGCAGCCUUGGCCCUCCCUCACCCUCUGUCCUGCCAAGGCCAAACCAUUUGGGGCUGAUGUGGCCUCACUGACACCGACCCACAUCGGAGCGGCCCAGCUGCGUCCUGGCCCGUGUCCCUUCCCCUCCUGGGUUCUUUGGCACAGCUGGAGCUCCUUUCCCACCCGCCAACAGCAUCAGCUGCAGCUUCUUAUCAGCUCUGGGUGCAAUCCAGGCUGGAACCGAGUGAGAGGCUCCUGCUGGUGCCAGGGGAGGAGUGUUUGGAGCAGGCAGACCUCGUGCUGCAGCUCCUGAUGUGGAGCAGCAGGUGAUUUGGGCUGCAAAGGGAAAGUGGAAGCUCUCCAGGGCCACCCUGUGAGCCAGCCAGUGCUCACCAUGAGCAGGAUUUCCCACCAAGAUGAUGUGAACACCUGGGGUGACAAGAGGAUGCUGCUGGACAUGCACUGCAGGUCCCACCCCAGAGAGUGGCAGAGCAGACCCUGAGAGGACAACCCAGCUCAACACAGGACAUUGCUGUGGAUCCAGCUGAGGGAAAAUGCCUGCAAAGCAAACCCCUGGAACUGUGGCACUGCUUGGAUACAGCCCUGGGAGCAAGCCCAGCACUCAGUAACUGUGCUGUGAGCCUGUGUGCUGCAGGUGAGCUGCUCUGGGGGCCACGUGGGGCUGGGGAGCUGCUGUCAGCAGCAAAUGCCAUUUCUGCUCAGUGUCAGCCCCGGUGACACAGCCCAGCCCCAGCCCUGCCGCCUCUGACUGAUCCUGUCUAAAUGCUCCUUUCCCCAGCACCAACCUGUUUGUUCCUGUGGCAAUUACCUCCCCUGCCAACGUGU